GCCGAACAGCUAGCCCAAGCACCACCUCCAAUCACCACAAAACAUAACCAAACCAUUUGUUACAUCAAGUAUAUGAGAUAGAAAAAUACCACUUGACGCUACAGCAUAAAUCUGUACCAUAAGGGACAACUGAAAGACCAAUUUAACAAUUUAAAGCACAAAAAAGCAGGGACCCACCCCCGUACCUCUUGCAUCAUGGUUUAACAAGAAAUAGCAGAUAAAGAGAAACUAUAAACCUGCCCCCCCGAAUCCAGACGAGCUACCUAAAAGCAAUCACACGGAUGCACCCAUCUCUGUGGCAAAAGAGUGGGACGACUUAUAGGUAGAGGCAAAACACCUACCGAGCCUGGCGAUAGCUGGUUGCUCACUAAAUGAACCAAAGUUCAACUCUAGUAUCACCCACACAACCACAAACUUCCCAUGUCACUACUAGAAGAAAAAAAUAAAGGUACAGCUUUUAUUGUGAUAGAACACGAUCAACCAUAGCGGACUAACCACCACCCCCCCCCCCCAACCAGUAGGCCCUAAAGCCGCCACCAUUAAAAACCGCGUCAAAGCAUUCAAUCAACUUAAUUUGACAAUAGAACUUAACCCCCUAACAACACCAACCCGAGCUAAUCCACUUCAACUGGAUAAAAUACUGUUAAAACUAGUAAUAUGAUCCCCCAUCUCAUCGCACAACCUUACAUUAACACCACCCAACCAACUAACAAUUACCAACUCAAACAGCACCCGCCAAGACAACACUGCUUAAAUACUGUUACCCCAACACAGGCGUGCCCUAGAUAAUAGAUUAAAAGUUGUAAAAGGAACUCGGCUAAUAUGCCCCACCUGUUUACCAAAAACAUGGCCUUUAGCUAAACAAGUAUUAAAGGUCCCGCCUGCCCAGUGAGAACAAAACUUUAACGGCCGCGGUACUUUAACCGUGCAAAGGUAGCGUAAUCAUUUGUCUCCUAAAUAGAGACCAGUAUGAACGGCUAAAUGAGGGCCUAACUGUCUCCUACAACCAAUCAAUGAAACUGAUCUCCCAGUACAAAAGCUGUGAUACCCACAUAAGACGAGAAGACCCUGCGGAGCUUUAAAUCACACCACUACCCAACAAACCAAAACCCUAACCCAGGGCACCAACCACAAACUACUAUAGUGCUAGAUUUAAGUUGGGGCGACUACGGAGUAAAAAAAAACCUCCAUGAAAACCGGACUAACCCUCCGCUAAAAGGCCAACACGCCAAAUAGACAACAAACACAUGACCCAGCCCAGCUGAUCACCGAACCAAGUUACCCCAGGGAUAACAGCGCCAUCCUCUUUAAGAGUUCCUAUCGCCAAGAGGGUUUACGACCUCGAUGUUGGAUCAGGACACCCCAGUGGUGUAGCCGCUACUAACGGUUCGUUUGUUCAACGAAUAAUGUCCUACGUGAUCUGAGUUCAGACCGGAGAAAUCCAGGUCGGUUUCUAUCUAUGUAUGUCCUCUUUAGUACGAAAGGACCAAGAAGACAGCGCCACUACUAUUAGGCACGCGCUAUACCAUAAAACUGAAACCAAAUAAAGUGGCAACCAAAUACGGCCCUGCCCAAAACAAGGGCGUU
rnacentral:rRNA from 1 species